rnacentral:rRNA from 1 species
AUUGAACGCUGGCGGCAGACCUAACACAUGCAAGUCGAACGGUAACAGGAAGCAGCUUGCUGCUUCGCUGACGAGUGGCGGACGGGUGAGUAAUGUCUGGGAAGCUGCCUGAUGGAGGGGGAUAACUACUGGAAACGGUAGCUAAUACCGCAUAAUGUCGCAAGACCAAAGGGGGGGACCUUCGGGCCUCUUGCCAUCGGAUGUGCCCAGAUGGGAUUAGCUUGUUGGUGGGGUAACGGCUCACCAAGGCGACGAUCCCUAGCUGGUCUGAGAGGAUGACCAGCCACACUGGAACUGAGACACGGUCCAGACUCCUACGGGAGGCAGCAGUGGGGAAUAUUGCACAAUGGGCGCAAGCCUGAUGCAGCCAUGCCGCGUGUAUGAAGAAGGCCUUCGGGUUGUAAAGUACUUUCAGCGGGGAGGAAGGGAGUAAAGUUAAUACCUUUGCUCAUUGACGUUACCCGCAGAAGAAGCACCGGCUAACUCCGUG